rnacentral:sRNA from 1 species
ACUAAACUCACUUUGUGUCAAUAACACACACAUGUCGGCACGUUCGCCGGGGUGCUCUGAAGGUGGCUUCACCGGAGGGGUCGGCGCAAUGGGACAUGUGGAGGCAUAACC